rnacentral:rRNA from 1 species
UGGGGAAUUUUGGACAAUGGGCGAAAGCCUGAUCCAGCAAUGCCGCGUGCGUGAAGAAGGCCUUCGGGUUGUAAAGCACUUUUGUCCGGAAAGAAAUCCUUGGCUCUAAUACAGUCGGGGGAUGACGGUACCGGAAGAAUAAGCACCGGCUAACUACGUGCCAGCAGCCGCGGUAAUACGUAGGGUGCAAGCGUUAAUCGGAAUUACUGGGCGUAAAGCGUGCGCAGGCGGUUUGCUAAGACCGAUGUGAAAUCCCCGGGCUCAACCUGGGAACUGCAUUGGUGACUGGCAGGCUAGAGUAUGGCAGAGGGGGGUAGAAUUCCACGUGUAGCAGUGAAAUGCGUAGAGAUGUGGAGGAAUACCGAUGGCGAAGGCAGCCCCCUGGGCCAAUACUGACGCUCAUGCACGAAAGCGUGGGGAGCAAACAGGAUUAGAUACCCUGGUAGUCCACGCCCUAAACGAUGUCAACUAGUUGUUGGGGAUUCAUUUCCUUAGUAACGUAGCUAACGCGUGAAGUUGACCGCCUGGGGAGUACGGUCGCAAGAUUAAAACUCAAAUGAAUUGACGGGGU